UGGACGGUCAGCAGACUGAGCCACCCAGGUGCCCCAUUUCAUCACACUUCUUAAAGUCCAACAAUGCCUUCCCAUCUCACUGUGAAUAAAGGUAAAGUGCCAACAAAGGCCUAAAAGACUGAACACAAUCUGGCCUCUCAUUACCUCUCUGACUUUAUCACCUACUACUCUCUUCUUCAUACACCCCAGAUUGAGCAACAAAUAAUCUGGGGAAAAUACAAGGAGAGGGGAGGGGUGGGCAACGGUUUACUUUGUAACACUAUUAUUUCAAAUAUGAAUACCACUUAAGAAUAAGUAAUGAAUUUUAUUUGAAAUUGUGACUACUUAGUUCAA